rnacentral:rRNA from 1 species
AGUGAACGCUGGCGGUAGGCCUAACACAUGCAAGUCGAACGGCAGCACAGUAAGAGCUUGCUCUUACGGGUGGCGAGUGGCGGACGGGUGAGGAAUACAUCGGAAUCUACUUUUUCGUGGGGGAUAACGUAGGGAAACUUACGCUAAUACCGCAUACGACCUACGGGUGAAAGCAGGGGAUCUUCGGACCUUGCGCGAUUGAAUGAGCCGAUGUCGGAUUAGCUAGUUGGCGGGGUAAAGGCCCACCAAGGCGACGAUCCGUAGCUGGUCUGAGAGGAUGAUCAGCCACACUGGAACUGAGACACGGUCCAGACUCCUACGGGAGGCAGCAGUGGGGAAUAUUGGACAAUGGGCGCAAGCCUGAUCCAGCCAUACCGCGUGAGUGAAGAAGGCCUUCGAGUUGUAAAGCCCUUUUGUUGGGAAAGAAAAGCAGCAGGUUAAUACCCCGCUGUUCUGACGGUACCCAAAGAAUAAGCACCGGCUAACUUCGUG